rnacentral:rRNA from 1 species
GAUGAACGCUGGCGGCGUGCCUAAUACAUGCAAGUCGAGCGAACAGACGAGGAGCUUGCUCCUCUGACGUUAGCGGCGGACGGGUGAGUAACACGUGGAUAACCUACCUAUAAGACUGGGAUAACUUCGGGAAGCCGGAGCUAGUACCGGAUAAUAUAUUGAACCGCAUGGUUCAAUAGUGAAAGACGGUUUUGCUGUCACUUAUAGAUGGAUCCGCGCCGCAUUAGCUAGUUGGUAAGGUAACGGCUUACCAAGGCAACGAUGCGUAGCCGACCUGAGAGGGUGAUCGGCCACACUGGAACUGAGACACGGUCCAGACUCCUACGGGAGGCAGCAGUAGGGAAUCUUCCGCAAUGGGCGAAAGCCUGACGGAGCAACGCCGCGUGAGUGAUGAAGGUCUUCGGAUCGUAAAACUCUGUUAUUAGGGAAGAACAAAUGUGUAAGUAACUAUGCACGUCUUGACGGUACCUAAUCAGAAAGCCACGGCUAACUACGUG